AAAGAAACAUUGCUGACAGGAGCUCAUGGAGAUCAAAUUCAAUGCAGUUACAUUUCUGAAAGAACAGGAUGCCAUCUAAAGAGAAAAUGAGAUCAUUGGUACCAGGGGCGUAGUGCACCAAAAAAUUUUGAGGGGGUACAAACUCAAAUAGUGGAUGUUUUAUGUCCAUCCAUAAAUCUAUCCAUCAUCUAACACACCUAUUCCUGGUCAGGGUCACAGGGGGUUCCAGAGUGUAUGCCAGCCCGCAUUGGGCAAGAGGCAGAAAUACAUCCUGGAGUGGUCACCAAUACUUUGCAGAGCACAUACACCAUUCACUCACUCACUCAUACCUAGGGGCAAUUUAUACUCUCCAAUUAAGAAGAAACCGGAGUUGGUUUAUGUCCUCAAUGCAAUUUAUUUCCCCCUCAUUUGUUUCUCCUAUUUUAUUGCUGAGAGUGGUAGUAUUACACUUCCAACAGUAAAAACACUUGACCUAAAACACUAAGUAGUUCAACAACAUAUUGUACUAAAUGUGGUUCUGUAAAUCUAUCAGGACAGCAGUGAUAGUAUUUAGUUCACAUUAAUUAGCAAAGCUGAGAUAGAGUAAGUGGAUCUAUACUCUGCAUCUGAAUCCCAUACUUUCGAGGAGAUGAAGAACUAAAUGGGCCUACAUGCAUCCCUCAUUCUCCCUCAGUAGCAAUGAUGAUAAGGUCAAGAAAAAAUGGACAAAGAAGAUAAAGCCAAGCACAGCAUCAACACUCUAUUUUCUCUAAAAAUCCCUGCCCUGUCACAUUAGCUAGCUACCGACCUAAACUAGAUAACAUUAUUUGACGACUAAUGAUACAACGCUUUGAAUAACUAGCUACAGCAACAUCUGAAAAAACAUAGCCACACAGUAAAAUGUCCAGUGUUAAUUCAACUCUAACAGUGUUAAUUCGACUCUUAACAGAUUGGUCUUACUCUAGAAUAUUGGACCAAAUGUUAUCUGUAGUGUCCUUCAUUGCCUCAGCCACCUGGUCUUAGGCAUUUAUAAUACGCAUACACCAGAUUGGUCUGUAUGAUAGGCUAUUUGCUUAGUAAGAGCUUACCUGGGUGUUAAGAAACAAAGAAAAGCAGCUUUCCUCAUUGAUUUUGAAUGGUACCACAACUCAUUUCACAGUAUGUUAAGUCACUUUUCAUCUUUAUUUCAUGAAUAAAGCCCCAUGCUGAGGAUGAGGCUGAUCGCAUGUUAAUCAAUGUUUCCUUGAUUAACAUUAGUAUGUGCAGAAAAAACCGGCAUAUGCUCAUAUUAUAGGGUGUUUUUAUUUACUGUUAAAAUUGUUACAAUCAUACCGACUAUGUGUUGUAUAAAUGUAACAUUGGACUGUGUGUACUUUAGUACCGACUCAAUUAAGUUCCGAAAGUAAUUGAAGCGGCUAAUGACUACUGACAUGUCAAAGCUGUUUGAAGUAAAAUACUGCUCUUAAAUGUAUUACUGGUGACAAUUAUGAUACACAUACUGCAUCUUACAUAAAGAAAGCUGGUUGGCCCUCUUUCCACGAGGAGAGACCAGCAUAGGUUUUUGUUUGUCCUUCUCUGUAAACGACCCUUUUAUCUGUCAUCACUCUUGGUUUGGAAUAUUGAAAAUCACUACACAUGCUCUCAAUACUGCCUAAUGCUGCAUGUAUCUCAAGUUAACUUGGAACUCUGAAAAACUGCUUUUAAAUUAUGUGCCUCUCAUACCUGGAAUGAACGGCAAAAAUACUAAAAUUGAUUAUUUUGUAACACUGGGAAAUUUUGAUUUUCGAUUUUUUGGUUUUAUUGUAACUCGGCGCCAUUGCAAAUGAGGGUCCCACCCUCAAUGUGUCACAGAGAAUGUUAAAUAAAGAUAAAGAAGAUAAAGAUAA